GGUCUUCGGAUCGUAAAGCUCUGUUGUUAGGGAAGAACAAAUGUGUAAGUAACUGAGCACAUCUUGACGGUACCUAACCAGAAAGCCACGGCUAACUACGUGCCAGCAGCCGCGGUAAUACGUAGGUGGCAAGCGUUAUCCGGAAUUAUUGGGCGUAAAGCGCGCGUAGGCGGUUUCUUAAGUCUGAUGUGAAAGCACACGGCUCAACCGUGGAGGGUCAUUGGAAACUGGAAAACUUGAGUGCAGAAGAGGAAAGUGGAAUUCCAUGUGUAGCGGUGAAAUGCGCAGAGAUAUGGAGGAACACCAGUGGCGAAGGCGGCUCUCUGGUCUGUAACUGACGCUGAUGUGCGAAAGCGUGGGGAUCAAACAGGAUUAGAUACCCUGGUAGUCCACGCCGUAAACGAUGAGUGCUAAGUGUUAGGGGGUCUCCGCCCCUUAGUGCUGCAGCUAACGCAUUAAGCACUCCGCCUGGGGAGUACGGUCGCAAGACUGAAACUCAAAGGAAUUGACGGGGAGCCGCACAAGCGGUGGAGCAUGUGGUUUAAUUUGAAGCAACGCGAAGAACCUUACCAAAUCUUGACAUCUUUUGACCACUCUAGAGAUAGAGUUUUCCUCUUCGGAGGACAAAAUGACAGGUGGUGCAUGGUUGUCGUCAGCUCGUGUCGUGAGAUGUUGGGUUAAGUCCCGCAACGAGCGCAACCCUUGAGCUUAGUUGCCAUCAUUAAGUUGGGCACUCUAAGUUGACUGCCGGUGACAAACCGGAGGAAGGUGGGGAUGACGUCAAAUCAUCAUGCCCCUUAUGAUUUGGGCUACACACGUGCUACAAUGGACAAUACAAAGGGCAGCAAAACCGCGAGGUCAAGCAAAUCCCAUAAAGUCGUUCUCAGUUCGGAUUGUAGUCUGCAACUCGACUACAUGAAGCUGGAAUCGCUAGUAAUCGUAGAUCAGCAUGCUACGGUGAAUACGUUCCCGGGUCUUGUACACACCGCCCGUCACACCACGAGAGUUUGUAACACCAGAAGCCGUUGGAGUAACCAUUGGAGCUAGCCGUCUCUUA
rnacentral:rRNA from 1 species